rnacentral:lncRNA from 1 species
UUCCCCCCUUCCCUGGCGAAUCCAGCUGCUUUGUUCUCUCUGCUGAGAGAGGACUUCUCAUUCUUCUCCAGCUGCAAGGCAUUAAGGGGACAGAGUUACAGGGAGGAAGCUUGCCUGUGCGUGGGGAAAAUGAGCUGCACUGGGUUUGGCAGAAUUUGGCAGCUGUUCCACAUCGGCCACUGUAAUAAGUCCAUGUUUGUGCCCUUGGUGAAAAUAAAAGGCAAGACUGAGCUAGCCCACUGGAAGCCUUGUUACAAAGUACUCUCUCUGGAUGGAAGCAGGCCAGCUAUGUGAUGAUCAGAGUGCCAGCUGCUCCAUUCUGGCUCUUCCCAGAAUUUCCAGUCAUAUACCUCUAAAAGGGAAACACAUGAGCCAUGGGAGUACCCUGCUGGGGGACAAACACGAGAUAUUACAAAGGUAUGACAGGUCAUCACCUAGAGAGUGGGUACUCCACUCAUAUCUACAAUCCUGCCUUCCAAAUGAGAUACAAAGGAGAGAGAUCAUAGUUUCAUGA